rnacentral:rRNA from 1 species
AUGUGGCAUACGGCUCAGUAACACGUAGUCAACAUGCCCAGGGGACGUGGAUAACCUCGGGAAACUGAGGAUAAACCGCGAUAGGUCAUUUCUUCUGGAAUGGGUAAUGACCCAAAUCUACAUGGCCCCUGGAUUGGACUGCGGCCGAUCAGGCUGUUGGUGAGGUAAUGGCCCACCAAACCUGUAACCGGUACGGGCUCUGAGAGGAGGAGCCCGGAGAUGGGCACUGAGACAAGGGCCCAGGCCCUAUGGGGCGCAGCAGGCGCGAAACCUCUGCAAUAGGCGAAAGCUUGACAGGGUUACUCUGAGUGAUUUCCGUUAAGGAGAUCCUUUGGCACCUCUAAAAAUGGUGCAGAAUAAGGGGUGGGCAAGUCUGGUGUCAGCCGCCGCGGUAAUACCAGCACCCCGAGUGGUCGGGACGUUUAUUGGGCCUAAAGCAUCCGUAGCCGGUUCUACAAGUCUUCCGUUAAAUCCACCUGCUUAACAGAUGGGCUGCGGAAGAUACUAUAGAGCUAGGAGGCGGGAGAGGCAAGCGGUACUCGAUGGGUAGGGGUAAAAUCCGUUGAUCCAUUGAAGACCACCAGUGGCGAAGGCGGCUUGCCAGAACGCGCUCGACGGUGAGGGAUGAAAGCUGGGGGAGCAAACCGGAUUAGAUACCCGGGUAGUCCCAGCUGUAAACGA